rnacentral:rRNA from 1 species
UACGAAGGGGGCGAGCGUUUGUUCGGAUUUACUGGGCGUAAAGGGCGCGCAGGCGGUCCUUCAAGUCAGAUGUGAAAGCCCCGGGCUCAACCUGGGAACUGCAUUUGAGACUGGAGGACUUGAGGACGGGAGAGGAGAGUGGAAUUCCCAGUGUAGAGGUGAAAUUCGUAGAUAUUGGGAAGAACACCGAUGGCGAAGGCAGCUCUCUGGACCGUUACUGACGCUGAGGCGCGAAAGCGUGGGGAGCAAACAGG